rnacentral:rRNA from 1 species
UAAAAAGAUGUUUUGAAUAAAAAUUUCUCGAAUUUAAGAGGGCUAAGAAAGUAUAUAUUUUAUUGUGAAAGAACUAUUUUAAAUACUGUCUUUGUAAUGAAAUGUUAGUCGUUCUUUAAUAUAUCUAGUUUUCUAAGAAAUUAAUUUAAUUAAGCUGAUUUGGAAAUGAUUUAUUUAUUAAAAUUAUUUAGGGAUUAAGUAAUACUUAAGGGGAUAAGCUUUUAAGUAGAAUAUUAAAAUAUUUUAUUUUGUUUAAAGUGUAAUAGGAAUAGAAGUUUUCAUUUUUAGAAGUGAGUUGUAUCAUGAUUUUAAUAGAAGUAAUUUUUUUGUAUUUAAGGUUUAUAUUAGGAAGUGAAAAUGAAUUUUUUAUUUUGUGCUAUAAUGGUAAAAUUAGUAUAUAAGUUUGUUUUAAUUGUUUGGUUUUGUAAGAUUAUGAUAAGGAACUCGGCAAAUUGAUUCUUUGCCUGUUUAUUAAAAACAUGGCCUUUUGGGAAUAAUUUAAGGUCUGGCCUGCCCACUGUGUAGAUUAAUGGCCGCGGUACUCUGACCGUGCAAAGGUAGCAUAGUCAUUAGUUUUUUAAUUGAAAGCUGGAAUGAACGGUCGGACAAGGGAAUAGCUGUCUUUUUUUAAUGUGUAGAAUUUUAUUUUUUAGUAAGAAAGCUUAAAUUAGUUUGAGGGACGAGAAGACCCUAUAGAAUUUUAUAGAUAUAUUUUGGGUGGGUUGUUAAGGGUUUUUCUUGGUUUACUUAAAAUGUAUUUAUUUUGUUGGGGUGAUGGAAAAAUUUGAAUAACUUUUUUUAUUGUAUGUUUACUUAUGUGUAAAUGAUUGAUCCACGAUUUGUGAUUAUAAGAUUAAAUUACCUUAGGGAUAACAGCGUAAUUAGUUUGGAGAGUUCUUAUCGAUAAAUUAGUUUGCGACCUCGAUGUUGGAUUAAAAUUAACUUGUGGUGUAGGGGCUACAGGAUUAAGUCUGUUCGACUUUUAAAAUUUU